GGGGGCGUUAGGCUUCGACGCAAAUAAGAAGCAUUAGGGAGCAUGCAGAGGGGCAUGAGGACCUCUUUAAAAACGUGCAUAAAACUAAUUGGCAACUUUGCCACUUUAGCUGCUUAAUUUUAAAGUAGCCGUGGAACCAACUUAGACGGCGAAGUUGGGGAAGCGUCGAUUCAGUCGUCUCGGUUGAUUGCUUUUCUCAGGCGGUGGACUUAAAUCAAUGAGAAAAAACUUGAGGAAAUUUUGCCUUUGGAAGUUCUUUUAAGUUUUUAAAACAGAGGCUGAGCAUGGAGCACCCAAAUGUAGAAGCUUUGCGGACACGAGUUCAAUUCUCGUCGCCUCCACCA
rnacentral:sRNA from 1 species